AGGGAGAAUGCCAUAUCCAGAGAAUGGUUGUGAUUGAUGCUUUGGUCCUCACUUGCAUAAGGGACAGCACUUGCUGACCAGUCCUCCAGUCUGAACAGAAAAUGAACUUUCCAUUCAAAGAAUCCAGAAUUCACCCUGUGACAGCAAGGGCUCUUCCUCCCAUUGCCUCUCCCCGAUCCCCCUUAUGCAGCAAAACAAUAUGGAGAACAAGUCCGGCGUCUGCAGUCCAUUCGUGCAGGUCGUAUCUGACAGAAAGGAGAACUGUCCGCAAGCACAUUCCUCACCAAUAAUUAAUUCCUCUCCUGCCCACUGCCAUGUGCCUGAGAAGCCUGCAACUGCAUCAUGUCUGCAAAAUCCCAUGGACAAGAUUUCCAUGGUGACAGGGUCAUGUGCUAUGCAAAUAUCAGCUGGCUAGUCGAGGUUACUUUGGCAACCCAAGUGUCACAGGUAAUGAUGCAGAGCUCGUUCAGAUUUAUGAAGGAAUAAUCUGAAUAAAAACUUGCCCAUUUUUCAUUUUAA